rnacentral:rRNA from 1 species
AGUAGUUUGAUCAUGGCUCGAGGACGAACGCUGGCGGCACGCUUAACACAUGCAAGUCGAACGGAGAAUAUUUGGUUUACUAAGUAUUCUUAGUGGCGGACGGGUGAGUAACACGUGAGCAACCUGCCUUUGAGAGGGGGAUAGCUUCUGGAAACGGAUGGUAAUACCCUAUAACAUAACGAAGCCGCAUGACUUUGUUAUCAAAGAUUUAUCACUCAAAGAUGGGCUCGCGUCUGAUUAGAUAGUUGGUGAGGUAACGGCUCACCAAGUCGACGAUCAGUAGCCGGACUGAGAGGUUGAACGGCCACAUUGGGACUGAGACACGGCCCAGACUCC